rnacentral:rRNA from 1 species
UACGGGGGGGGCAAGCGUUGUUCGGAAUUAUUGGGCGUAAAGGGCUCGUAGGCGGUUGGUCACGUCGGGAGUGAAAACUCAGGGCUCAACCCUGAGCGUGCUUCCGAUACGGGCCGACUAGAGGUAUGCAGGGGAGAACGGAAUUCCUGGUGUAGCGGUGGAAUGCGCAGAUAUCAGGAGGAACACCGGUGGCGAAGGCGGUUCUCUGGGCCGAUACUGACGCUGGAGGAGCGAAAGCGUGGGGAGCGAACAGG